AGAGUUUGAUCCUGGCUCAGGAUAAACGCUGGCGGCGCACAUAAGACAUGCAAGUCGAACGAACUUAACCAUUAGUUUACUAUUGGAGCGGUUAGUGGCGGACUGGUGAGUAACACGUAAGCAACCUGCCUAUCAGAGGGGAACAACAGUUAGAAAUGACUGCUAAUACCGCAUAUGCCUUGAGUAUCACAUGGUACAAAAGGGAAAGGAGCAAUCCGCUGAUAGAUGGGCUUGCGUCUGAUUAGAUAGUUGGUGAGGUAACGGCCCACCAAGUCGACGAUCAGUAGCCGGACUGAGAGGUUGAACGGCCACAUUGGGACUGAGAUACGGCCCAGACUCCUACGGGAGGCAGCAGUCGGGAAUAUUGCGCAAUGGAGGAAACUCUGACGCAGUGACGCCGCGUGCAGGAAGAAGGUUUUCGGAUUGUAAACUGCUUUAGACAGGGAAGAAACAAGACAGUACCUGUAGAAUAAGCUCCGGCUAACUACGUGCCAGCAGCCGCGGUAAU
rnacentral:rRNA from 1 species